CCUACGGGGGGCAGCAGUAGGGAAUCUUCCACAAUGGGCGAAAGCCUGAUGGAGCAACGCCGCGUGGGUGAAGAAGGUCUUCGGAUCGUAAAACCCUGUUGUUAGAGAAGAAAGUGCGUGAGAGUAACUGUUCACGUUUCGACGGUAUCUAACCAGAAAGCCACGGCUAACUAGGUGCCAGCAGCCGCGGUAAUACGUAGGUGGCAAGCGUUAUCCGGAGUUAUUGGGCGUAAAGGGAACGCAGACGGUCUUUUAAGUCUGAUGUGAAAGCCUUCGGCUUAACCGGAGUAGUGCAUUGGAAACUGGGAGACUGGAGUGCAGAAGAGGAGAGAGGAACUCCAUGUGUAGCGGUGAAAUGCGUAGAUAUAUGGAAGAACACCAGUGGCGAAGGCGGCUCUCUGGUCUGUAACUGACGCUGAGGUUCGAAAGCGUGGGUAGCAAACAGGAUUAGAUACCCUGGUAGUC
rnacentral:rRNA from 1 species